CAAGUACUCCCUCCGUCUGGAAUUACUUGUCAUCAAAAUGGAUGUGUCUAGAACUAAAAUACAUCUAGAUACAUCCAUUUCAAUGACAAGUAUUUUCGGACAGAAGGAGUACAAG
rnacentral:pre_miRNA from 1 species